CAAAGCGUUUGGAUUCUAA
rnacentral:miRNA from 1 species